rnacentral:other from 1 species
GUCAGGAUGACAAAGGACAGUUUCAGGAAGAGACAGGGACCCCGAAGGAAUCGGGCUAAGGAAGUGCUCCGGGACGGAGUCGGACCUCUCAGGAUGAGUUAUCAGGAACUCCUUCAGGAUGAAGGGAAAGGACACCUCCAGGACGGAUUGAGAGCGUGAGUUCAGGAUGAACUGACAGGUCAGGGAACCACCGAAGGACAGUCCAGGACGGGACUUAGGGAUUGCUGCAAUAGGGAUAUUGUAUAACAAGGAUGACAGCAGGGAGCCAUCAAGUAGCCGGAUGCUGCAUGUAAGACCUAAGGGCGCAACGUAAGUUGCGCCCGUUCUUUAUUUG